UUGGAGGGCAAGUCUGGUGCCAGCAGCCGCGGUAAUUCCAGCUCCAAUAGCGUAUAUUAAAGUUGUUGCAGCUAAAAAGCUCGUGGUUGAAUUUCGGGAUCAAUUAAUUGGUCGUGCCUCUGGUACGUACUGAUUUUAUUGGUUUCUCCCUUCUGACGAACCAUGAUGUCAUUAAUUUGGUGUCGUGGAGAAUCAGGACUGUUACUUUGAAAAAAUUAGAGUGUUUAAAGCAAGCUAACGCUUGAAUACAUUAGCAUGGAAUAAUGAAAUAGGACGUUUGACCCUAUUUUGUUGGUUUCUAGGAUCGACGUAAUGAUUAAUAGGGAUAGUUGGGGCAUUAGUAUUCAAUUGUCAGAGGUGAAAUUCUUGGAUUUAUUGAAGACUAACUACUGCGAAAGCAUUUGCCAAGGAUGUUUUCAUUAAUCAAGAACGAAAGUUAGGGGGAUCGAAGACGAUCAGAUACCGUCGUAGUCUUAACCAUAAACUAUGCCGACUAGGGAUCGGAUGAUGUUAAUUUUUAAUGUACUCAUUCGGCGCC
rnacentral:rRNA from 1 species